rnacentral:rRNA from 1 species
CGGAUUGUAGUCUGCAACCCGACUACAUGAAGCUGGAAUCGCUAGUAAUCGCGGAUCAGAAUGCCGCGGUGAAUACGUUCCCGGGUCUUGUACACACCGCCCGUCACACCAUGGGAGUCAGUAACGCCCGAAGUCAGUGACCCAACCGGAAGGAGGGAGCUGCCGAAGGCGGGACGGAUAACUGGGGUGAAGUCGUAACAAGGUACC